CUCCACCACUUCCCUGGGCAGCCCAUUCCAAUGCCUAACAACUCUUUCGAUUCCUCUAGGCUUUCACAGAGACCUUGCAGCAGUUAAAAUAAAAUGAAGAUAUUUGGAUUAGAGUAUCAGAUUCCAGGAACGGUCAUGACAACUGCAAGAUUGAAAGCAAGAUUUUUCUAAGAAAAUUAAAUUUCAUAUCGGAGGAGCUUAUCUAAGGAAUUUCAAGACCAUUCUGGCUAUUACCUUCAACAGCAUCACCUUUUCCUCUUUUAGAGAGUCAUUCUUAACAUGCACAGGAAAAGCAUUGCUCAGCAUCACAGCACUGACUGAACAAAUACUCUCCUGAAACAGGCUGGCUCAACCUUUUUUGAAAUGAUGUUUUAUGAAGACAAGCCUGCAUUUCCAAAUGUAAAACAAGCACAUCA